rnacentral:rRNA from 1 species
AUUGAACGCUGGCGGCAUGCUUUACACAUGCAAGUCGAACGGCAGCGCGGGCUUCGGCCUGGCGGCGAGUGGCGAACGGGUGAGUAAUGCAUCGGAACGUGCCCAGUAGUGGGGGAUAGCCCGGCGAAAGCCGGAUUAAUACCGCAUACGACCUGAGGGUGAAAGCGGGGGACCGAAAGGCCUCGCGCUAUUGGAGCGGCCGAUGUCGGAUUAGCUAGUUGGUGGGGUAAAGGCUUACCGAGGCGACGAUCCGUAGCUGGUCUGAGAGGACGACCAGCCACACUGGGACUGAGACACGGCCCAGACUCCUACGGGAGGCAGCAGUGGGGAAUUUUGGACAAUGGGGGCAACCCUGAUCCAGCCAUGCCGCGUGCGGGAAGAAGGCCUUCGGGUUGUAAACCGCUUUUGUUCGGGAAGAAAUCCUCUGGGCUAAUACCCCGGGGGGAUGACGGUACCGGAAGAAUAAGCACCGGCUAACUACGUG